AAACCAACAGGGAUUGCCUUAGUAACGGCGAGUGAAGCGGCAAAAGCUCAAAUUUGAAAUCUAGCACUUUCAGUGUUCGAGUUGUAAUUUGAAGAAGGUAUCUUUGGAGUUGGCCCCCGUCUAUGUUCCUUGGAACAGGACGUCACAGAGGGUGAGAAUCCCGUGCGAUGGGGAGUCCAAUUCUUUGUAAAGUUCCUUCGAAGAGUCGAGUUGUUUGGGAAUGCAGCUCUAAGUGGGUGGUAAAUUCCAUCUAAAGCUAAAUAUUGGCGAGAGACCGAUAGCGAACAAGUACAGUGAUGGAAAGAUGAAAAGAACUUUGAAAAGAGAGUGAAAAAGUACGUGAAAUUGUUGAAAGGGAAGGGCUUUUGAUCAGACUUGGUGUUUAGUACUCUCUACUCCUUGUGGGUGGGGCUCUUGCUUUAUACUGGGCCAGCAUCGGUUUGGAUGGUAGGAUAAUGACAUUGGAACGUGGCUCCAUUCGUGGAGUGUUAUAGCCCUUGUUGAUACUACCUAUCUAGACCGAGGACUGCGUCUUUUGACUAGGAUGCUGGCGUAAUGAUUAAAAGCCGC
rnacentral:rRNA from 1 species